rnacentral:rRNA from 1 species
CCCGGCUAACUUCGUCCCAGCAGCCGCGGUAAUACGGAGGGCGCAAGCGUUAAUCGGAAUUACUGGGGUUAAAGCGCACGCAGGCGGUAUGUCAGUUCAGAUGUGAACUCCCCGGCUUCAACUUGAGAAUCGCAUCGAAACUGGCAGGUUAGAGUUUGUAGAGGGGUGUAGAUUUCCAGGUGUAGCGGUGAAAUGUGUAGAUAUCGGGAGGAAUACCGGUGGGGAAGGCGGCCUCCUGCACAACGAGUGACGUUCAGGUGAGAAAGCGUGGGGCGCAACCAGGAUUGGUUACCCUGGUAUUCCACGCCUUAAACGAGUUUGAUUUCGAGGUGGUCCCCUUGAGGCUUGGCUUCCGGAGCUAACGCGUUAAGUGGCCCCCCUGGGGAGUCCGGCCCCAAGGUUAAAAUUCAAAUGAAUUGACGGGGGCCCGCCCAAGCGGUGGACCAUGUGGUUUAUUUGGAUGCAACGGGAAGACCCUUCCCUACUCUUGCCAUCCAGAGAAUUUCCCAGAGAUGAUUUGGUCCCUUCGGGAACUACGAGCCAGGUGUUCCAUGGCGUUCUUCAGUUCGUGUUGUGAAAUGUUGGGUUAAGUCCCGCAACGAGCGCAACCCUUUUCCUUUGUUCCCAGCGGUAAGGCCGGGAACUCAAAGGAGACUGCCAGUGAUAAACUGGAGGAAGGUGGGGAUGACGUCAAGUCAUCAUGGCCCUUACGAGCAGGGCUACACACGUGCUACAAUGGUGCAUACAAAGAGAAGCGACCUCGCGAGAGCAAGCGGACCUCAAAAACUGCGUCGUAGUCCGGAUUGGAGUCUGCAACUCGACUCCAUGAAGUCGGAAUCGCUAGUAAUCGUAGAUCAGAAUGCUACGGGGAAUACGUUCCCGGGCCUGGUCCACCCCCCCCGUCCCCCCAUGGGAGUGGGUGGCCCAAGAAGUAGGUAGCUUAACUGCUCGGGAGGGCGCUUACCACGGUGUGA